rnacentral:tRNA from 1 species
GGGGAUAUAGCUUAGUGGCAUAGCACCUGUCUAGCAAGAAUGAGGUGAUGAGUUCGAUCCCCAUUACCCCCU